GUUUUUUUUUCUCAUUCCUUUUCUGUGAAAAAGAAAAUAGAAAGGAAGGUUUGGCAGGCAGCUCACUCCGCGCAUUAAUUAAAGAAAGGCAGAUACUUGUCUGUUAAGUUCAUUC
rnacentral:ribozyme from 12 species